GGAUCUGAAGCCAAAAUCAGUUCAAUUUCGAAUUUUUCAACGUAAUGGAAGGUGUGUCUCCAGACCAGGAAUCUGUGGAGUCUGGCGCAAAAAAAUCCAGUAUAUCUUCAGGUGGCAGGCUUCAUGACCGGAAAGAGUUUCUCCAUAGGUUUGUAGAUAGUGAAAGCCUGACCGAAAACAUUAAAACGUGGUAUGAAGAAACAAUAGAAAAUUCAACUCAUAAGGAACCUUCGUUUGAUGUCCCUUUUGAGUUGAUAGAUCUUCAAAAGUUCGAUUAUGCGUUGGGAGGAGUUCCAUUUCAGCAGCUGAUUCGUAUGCCUAGUGCUGUUUAUGCCUCGACUUCUGGUGCUGCGGAAGCAACUGCUUAUCUUGCUCUGGAGGAUUUUUUACAUGCAAGUGUGAAAGGUUUGUGGGAGGCAUUUUGGGGUCAGGAUGAAACUUUGCCUUUCUAUGUUUCUUGCGUCUAUAAUUCAAACCUGAGAUUUU
rnacentral:misc_RNA from 1 species